UAUAUAUUAUAUAGUAUAAUUAUUAGGAAAGUUAUAAAAUUAAGGCAAUAAAUAGUAAAUAAAUAAAUAAAUUAUCCUUAGCUCAUCUUAUUAAUGAGCCCCCCAAAGGGGGGCUCAUCUUAUAAAAAAAAAAUAGAUUAAUCUUAGUUAAAUAUUAAAUAAUACAAAAUAUAAGCUUAUUAAUUAUAUAAUAUAUAAUAUAUAAUAA
rnacentral:RNase_P_RNA from 1 species